ACCCUAGUGGCGGACGGGUGAGUAACGCGUGGGAACCUGCCCUGGAGCGGGGAAUAAUCACUGGAAACGGUGGCUAAUACCGCAUACGCCCUCAGGGGGAAAGGCUUCGGCCACUCUAGGAUGGUCCCGCGUCCGAUUAGCUUGUUGGUGGGGUAACGGCCUACCAAGGCGACGAUCGGUAGCUGGUCUGAGAGGAUGAUCAGCCACACUGGGACUGAGACACGGCCCAGACUCCUACGGGAGGCAGCAGUGGGGAAUAUUGGACAAUGGGGGAAACCCUGAUCCAGCAAUGCCGCGUGAGUGAAAAAGGCCUUAGGGUUGUAAAACUCUUUCACCCGUGAAGAUGAUGACGGUAGCGGGAGAAGAAGCUCCGGCUAACUCCGUGCCAGCAGCCGCGGUAAUACGGAGGGGGCUAGCGUUGUUCGGAAUUACUGGGCGUAAAGCGCGCGUAGGCGGCUUAUCAAGUUAGGCGUGAAAGGCCUGGGCUCAACCCGGGAACUGCGCUUAAUACUGGUAGACUUGAGUCCGGGAGAGGGUGGCGGAAUUCCCAGUGUAGAGGUGAAAUUCGUAGAUAUUGGGAAGAACACCAGUGGCGAAGGCGGC
rnacentral:rRNA from 1 species